AUUGUUCUACGUUGCUCUCUAU
rnacentral:siRNA from 1 species